GGCUCGGAUCAGGGUUCCUGGGCGGCGGAACUGCUACCCGGGACGGGUACCCCCGUCCUUGUUUUUUGGACGGUCCUGGAGAGAGGUUCCGCAGCACAGACUCUGAAAUUCCGACCGAGAAGAUUUAGAAAAAGCAAAUAAGCAAAUAAAAUUACUGCAGUUCCCUGUAAUUCUUAUGCAUAAGCCCGGGCGAAGACUAACUCCAGGAAAAAGUGAGUAGUGAAACCUCUUCAGUCGGGAGGGACCGUUCGACAGGAGUUCGAACGGAGACUUACUCCAGGGGGAGUAAGUGUCUUACUCCAGGAGAGAGUAAGAGUACCAGGUGCCGCUCGGUUUGGGAAGGGACCGUCCAGCGAGGAGUUGGAUGAAGACUUAUCCAGGAGAGAUACAGCCAUUCGUACCGCUGAAAGAGGAUGGACUCACGCAUCUCGGGUUAAGGGGCCAGUCAACACUCCUGAAUGGACUGUAACUUCUCAGCCUGGGAAUCUCCGAAUGACGUUCAGAAAAACUGGACUGGUAAAUGAAUCACCCUGAACGAGACUAGGACCCAGCCCAGCCUAUACUCCUGGUUUGAAGUACCUCGAGACCUAACCUUAAUAAGAGUUCGGUAUAGCCAUUGGUGAGUGGACUAAUCCUCUACCAGGCUGGGGAAAGUGGAUAUACCAAAUUGCUGAAAAGGGUGAAAGUUUUCCUCAUUGUUGUGAUCUUGAGACUGAAAUUACUUUGCCAGAAAGACCUGCACAGAAGAUACCCUGUAUAAAACACCCAGUUUCAGGACCCCAGAGCUGGGUCGGUUGUAAAUGUACAUUAUAUGGUAUAGAGUGGUAUUGUGCAGCAGUAGGCAGGACACCCAUUGUACGAAUUGCCGAGAGUUCUUUAUUGCUUCUGAUGAGAAACUGAAUGUUUUAGAAAUUGAUAAGUUAUUCUGUAGACAGGAGUAAUUGGUACCAGAGAACUGGGAAGUCUACGAUAAAAAAAAAAAAAAAAAAAAAAAUUUAAUUUUGGUACAAAACUCUAGAACAGUGUGCCAUUACAAUUGCCUGGAAAACAGAGUUCACAACCAACCAACUUUUAGAAAUAUUAGGAAAGCGUAUGAAACACAUAGAUCUGGAGAAAUAAAGGAAAAGGUCACAAGAACCUAUCAAGAACCCAUAUUCUCCUGAAGAAUAUUGACUGCUGCCGAGAAGAUGUAAAACCCCGUUGCUCCCGGCAAAGGAGUAGACGGAGGAGGCAGAGCAAUAAUACGGUGGAGAACAGAUAUGGGAAAUUAUAUAUGGAUUGUGGUAUUUUUGUGGCAGCUUUCCCCAAGCAGGGAAAGCCCACAUCGGCCGUACAAGUGGACUCCGAACAGAUGGAGCGAUCUAAAAACAGUUAGGACUAAUCUUACAGUAGGAUCUCCCAGUUUCUCUGCUACACUGUGUCAAAUAGCUCCUGUACCACAUUGUUCAAAUUUGAAACCUUAUUAUCUCUGUCCUGCAUCUAAUCCAGGAAAAGGAUAUUGUAACUACCCUGAUCAAUAUUAUUGUGCACACUGGGAUUGUGCCACUAUUGCUUCCGCCUGGACCCCUAAUUCUCGAGAUAAAUACCUAACGACGACAUGGGGACCACCUGGCUGUAAACCUUCACAAUUUGUUUUGUCUAGAGGAUCGAAGAGGUAUAGCGAUUGUAAGUAUAUUACCCUCCAGGUACUGCAACCAGAAGACCCAGGAUGGUUGAUAGGAAGAACUUGGGGAAUCAGAUACUGGGAAGCUGGUACAGAGAGGGGAAGGCUAAUAUUCAUAAAAAAACAAGAAGUCACCCACCGCCCUCUGGCAGUAGGACCCAAUAAAGUAAUAAAGAAAAAAGAGGAUAAUUUAAAUCAGAAGGAGAGUAGAAAAAGACAAACUUCCACAGUUUCAACUGCCCCGACUGUAAGUUUUAAUGACUCUAGUAGAACCUCAACCUACACUAAGGUACAUGAGAAAACAGAACCAUUGUUAAAAUUGAUGCAAGCGGCCUAUUACACACUUAACCACACCGACUCUAACUUAACUAACUCCUGUUGGUUGUGUUAUGACAUCAAACCUCCCUUCUAUGAGGGGAUAGCUCUGAACACCUCAGUUACAAUAGCCAAUCAGGGCAACCCUACACAAUGUAAUUGGGGGGAAAAACAGAUAGGAAUCACUCUCCAGGAAGUGAGAGGACAGGGAGUGUGCAUAGGAAAUGUACCUCCAACGAAAAGAAACUUAUGCAGCUAUACCAUCAAGAGACUUGAUAAAACCAGGAAAUGGGUUAUACCUGGCAGAGAAGGAUGGUGGAUAUGCUCCAAGACGGGUGUCACUCCCUGCUUGUCUUUACGAAUAUUUAACGAAAGUAAAGACUUUUGUGUUCAAAUAACGAUAAUACCCCAAAUUCUUUACCAUUCGAAGGAAUCGGUUCUUGACCAAUGGGAUGAUAAUAAACACAGGAUACAAAAAAGGGAACCAUUUACUGCCAUAACUAUUGCCAUGCUCCUUGGGCUGGGAACAGCGGGAGCGGCAACAGGAAUUGCAUCCCUCGAACAAAAUAAAGGGAUUACAUCUCUAAGAGCAGCAGUUGAUGAAGACUUAGUGAGAAUCGAAAAAUCAAUAUCAUACUUAAAGAAAUAUCUUACUUCACUUUCUGAAGUAGUUCUACAGAAUAGGAGAGGAUUAGAUUUAUUAUUCUUACAACAAGGGGGGCUAUGUGUUGCAUUAGGAGAAGAAUGUUGCUUUUAUGCAGAUCAUUCAGGGGUAGUUCGUGAAUCUAUGACUAAAUUACGUGAAGGAAUUUUUCAAAGGAAAAGGGAGAGACUCAACAAAACUGGUUUGAAUCAUGGUUUAACAAAUCACCCUGGCUAACUACUUUAAUUUCUACCCUAAUAGGCCCCCUAAUAAUGUUGUUAAUUACUUUGACAUUUGGUCCUUGUAUUUUGAAUAAAUUUGUAACUUUUGUUAAAGGUAGGAUUGAAACGGUACAACUUAUGGUAAUGAGACAGCCAUAUUCCGAAUUGAGCGAAAAAACAUCUAAAGCUGAACCAUUUCCUACCUUGAGUGCAGCCCGAGAAGCUGUAAUAAGGUUUGAUAAGCAAAUUAAUGAUAAAUAGAAAAGGGGGGAAAUUGUGAUAGCCAAUAAAGACCAAAGGAGAGAUAAUUUGCUUAUCAAAUUAUAUUUGCAACACUGUGAUUACAAAUUGCGAUAAACAAAGUCUCAAGUUUCUAUAAGUUUCAAGUAAUAAUUUCAUUUAGUGUUUGUCUUGACUACCUCAUGCAUAUUGAUUGUAUCAUAUACAUGUAUAUUCUGUGGGUUUUUGGCUAAAUGUUUAAUGUGUAAGUUUUCUCACAGCUGGAGCUGAGAGUUAUCUCUACAACCAGUCAUAGUUCAUGUAUUCUUAGACGAACAGGCGCCUAAAGAUUUAAAGUUCUAUUAUAUUUACGGCUAAGGCUAAAAGAGCUAUCUCUGCAGCCAGUCAUAAUUCAUGUAUUCUUGGACGAGUAGGCGCCUAAAGACUUAAAGUUGUACUAUAUUUCAUUCUUAGGAUAGUGAGAAAGUUUUAGGCCUUUUGACCUUGUGAGGGUCUGUUUUGUUUCCUUGUGGGGGUGUAGUUGAGUUUUAGAAUCUAUUUGUUCUGUUUUAAUGUAGUCACCCAUUUGUUUCACGAAUCACAAUUAUUUAUAUAUCACCCAAACCAUAAUGUUAUGUUACCAUAAUUAGUGAUA